GUCGACGCUGUGCCUCGACGACAAGAAGUUUGCAGUGAUGCGGGCACUUCGACCGCAGAUUGAAAAGCUGAUGCACAGCGAAAGCCAGGUUACAUCUCGGACCAGGGAGGACUGGAAGAUCAGAGAAACCGCCAACGGAAGCCCAAGGGAACCGUCAGGAUCUCGCCGCCGGGGAAAGGAAACUCGAUCAAGGAAGGCGACGUCUUUUUGAGAUGAGUCUCACAACGGGAGGUUUUUACUCCCUAGAAGAAAGUUUCGUGUCCAUGUAGGAGUAGCCUGAGAAACAGUCAAGAGCAUCUCAAGGUGAUGCACGGUGUAUGAGAGAAUGAGAACUGAAUAUGAAUGAAAUUAUUAAUAUUA